CUACGGGGGGCAGCAGUGAGGAAUAUUGCACAAUGGGGGGAACCCUGAUGCAGCAACGCCGCGUGGAGGAUGACGCAUUUCGGUGUGUAAACUCCUUUUAUAUGUCAAGAAAAUGACGGUAGCAUAUGAAUAAGCACCGGCUAACUCCGUGCCAGCAGCCGCGGUAAUACGGAGGGUGCAAGCGUUACUCGGAAUCACUGGGCGUAAAGGACGCGUAGGCGGGUUGGAAAGUCAGGUGUGAAAUCCUACAGCUUAACUGUAGAACUGCACUUGAAACUUCUAAUCUAGAGUAUGGGAGGGGGAGAUGGAAUUAGUGGUGUAGGGGUAAAAUCCGUAGAUAUCACUAGGAAUACCGAAAGCGAAAGCGAUCUGCUGGGACAUUACUGACGCUGAGGCGUGAAAGCGUGGGGAGCAAACAGGAUUAGAUACCCGCGUAGUC
rnacentral:rRNA from 1 species